GAAGAGAAGUAAGAGUUGGGAGAUGAGAAGAAACAAAUCUGGUGAGAGUUGAAAGGGGUGAGAAUAUGGAAAGAGAGAAAGUGAGACUUGGGAGAGUUGAGGAUGAGGCUGCGCAAGUGAAAAUGGGUGAGUAAAAAUGGGUAGAAAUUUAGGGUUUUAGAAUAAAGUAAAUAAAUAGGAUUAAAAGUAAAAAAGACUACUUUUAUAAUUAAAUUUUUUUUGUACAGGGUUGAGGAGGUGGAAGGAGCAAGGGUUGGUCCCCAAAAAAAUUGAUAAAUGGGGCAAAUUUUCACUCCCAAGAAAAAACCACCAAUGUUAGUGUUGGGAGGGAUAGAAGGGUGCUACUUCUUCAUGUUGCAUGAGACUUCUUUAUGGAAAAUAUUUUUUAACAACUUUUUUUUAAUAAUUUUUUUACAACAUCUAU
rnacentral:lncRNA from 1 species